rnacentral:tRNA from 1 species
GGGCGAAUAGCUCAGCGGAAGAGCAUCGCUUUUACACGGCGGUGGUCGCAGGUUCGAACCCUGCUUCGCCUA